AAGCCAUGGUGGGGACAUUGAGACAAGUAGCUUCUGAAUCUCUCCCAUGCCUCUGAAAAUCCUUCAAGUCCUCUUUGUUGAAAACCAGAGAUCUGAUUUCUAAGGUU
rfam:Brassica napus, WGS project CCCW01000000 data, contig: 6216